GUGCUCACUUCAGCAGCACAUAUACUAGAUUGGAACAAUACAGAGAAGAUUAGCAUGGCACCUAUGCAAGGAUGACAUGAAAAUUUGUGAAGUGUUCCAUUUUCAA
rnacentral:snRNA from 1 species